UGGGGAAUAUUGCACAAUGGAGGGAACUCUGAUGCAGCGACGCCGCGCGAGUGAUGAAGGAAUUCGUUUCGUAAAACUCUGUUCUAUGGGAAGAAAAGGACUGUACCAUAGGAGAAAGCUCCGGCUAAAUACGUGCCAGCAGCCGCGGUAAUACGUAUGGAGCGAGCGUUGUCCGGAAUUAUUGGGCGUAAAGGGUGCGCAGGCGGCUUUACAAGUUGGAUGUGAAAUAUUGUGGCUCAACCACAAACGUGCAUCCAAAGCUGCAAAGCUUGAUUUAAGGAGAGAUAAGUGGAAUUCCUGGUGUAGCGGUGGAAUGCGUAGAUAUCAGGAGGAAUACCGGUGGAGAAGGCAACUUACUGGACUUAAACUGACGCACAGGCACGAAAACGGGGGGAGCAAGCAGG
rnacentral:rRNA from 1 species